rnacentral:lncRNA from 1 species
UGUAAAAAGAGGAUAGUGGCUCACGUGUCAAAGGAUGGCACGGUCACGCUCUAGAUCCCCCAGGUGGAGGCACAGGUCUUUAACACCAGUGCCUAGAAGUUCUGAACACUACAAGCAAAGAUAUGAGCAUUAUGGCUACGACUAUAGGAAGGAUCCAAAAAGACACAUCACUUGGAGAAUGGACAAUGAGAAAUAUGGACAGAGUAAACCAAGGAUUUCUUCUCGUGAAAAUAUAUAUUACCGAUCUUACGAGCAUAGAUCACCUUCCCCAAACAUAAGAGGAAACUCUUCAGAAAAGUUUUAUACUUAUAAGCCUCCCCAAGUAUAUUUACCAGAAAGAGGAGAUGAUAGUAACAGAAGAGCUCAAUAUGUGCCCAGACACUCAGAAGGUAUAUUCUACAAAGAGCACCAGAGGAGUUGUUAUCCCCAGAAAGCACAAGGAAGGUAUAUUCCUGAUGACCGCAGAAAUAGAAGAAGUGAAAAAGGAGGGACACCACCUGUGAGAUCAACAACAGAUUCUUUUAGAUUCGAAGGAUAUUGGCAUGAAGAUGAACCGAGGCACCAGAGGAUACAAGAUGAAAAAUACUCUCAGUCACUUAGAAGAGGCCCUGAAGAUUUUGAGAAAAGGAGCUCUUUUCAGAAGAGGUAUCCUGAGGAUCAUGAUUUCAGAAAAUAUGGACACACAUCAAAAAGACCUCACGAUGUGGAGAGGUAUGAAAACAGAGAGCCUGUCAGGAGCCUGCAGUGGAAAUCCAGGCAUUUUUCUGCUCCUUACCAAGAGAAGAAAGAUCAGCGGAACCUUGAAACCCAGACUCAUCGAUAUGCUCCAAGGGAAUUCCCAGAGACCAGUUCAGCAGCCAAGGUAUCCUGUGAUUCUCGCCACAGAUAUCGAAAGACCUCAGAUGGCGACAAGGACUUUUAUGAUGGAAGAGCUCAGAGGUACCCUAAGGAGGAAGAUAGAAAAUUGGGUUCUCAAAAAGGCCCUGUGAAUAGAGAGUCCAGUUGUUCUCAUGCUGGAAGAGGGAGAGAGACUGAAGGUGGGCAAGUCAGAGAAUCUUCUAAGCCAUCAAAGAAAGACUGUGCUGCCUUAACCCACUUAGAUAAAAGCGAUGUUGAUUCGAGAUCCUGUAAGGACACACGGAAGGACAAAAUAAAGAAAGAAAGAGCUGGCAGUAAAGACAGCAACUCUUCCUGUAACCAACUUGAUAAUAGUGAUUCCGACUUGAAGCCUUCAUCUGUCUUUCUUAGGAAGAAGUCACUCACAGUUAAAGUAGAUGUGAAGCAAGCACAGAAUAGAUCUAGGAAAAGUGAAAAGUUUCAUCCAGUGUUUGAACAUCUUGACUCAACUCAGAAUACUGAAAACAAACCUACAGGAGAAUUUGCUCAGCAAAUCAUAACUAUAAUCCAUCAAGUUAAAGCAAAUUAUUUUCCAUCACCUGAAAUAACUCUGCAUGAGCGUUUCUCAAAAAUUCAAGUUAAAAAAGCUGCAGAUGUAAAUGAAACUAAGUUGAGCUCGGAUCCAGAAAUUCACAGGAGAAUAGAUAUGUCUUUGGCCGAGCUUCAGAGUAAACAAACUAUGGUAUAUGACUCAAAACAGACUCUGGUCAAAAUAAUAGAUCCAAGUGACCUACGACAUGACAUUGAAAGAAGGAGAAAAGAGCGGUUACAGAAUGAAGAUGAGCACAUUUUUCACAUAGCUAGUGCUACAGAGAGGAGUGAUCAGCAUUCCAGUUUUUCAGAGUUGAAGGAUACUCAUGUUGAUGAAUUCCAAAAACCUACGUCUUUUGAAAAAUCAAAUUUUAGAAAAUUUAUUCAGAAACCUUCCUCGAAUGAUACUAUGCAGAGAAAAGAUGUCAUUACUCACAGACCAUUUGAAGUUGAGGAAAACCAUCAAAAUACAAGAGGCUUUAGAAGACCUUUUAAGACCAACUUUAGAGGUGGCAGAUUUCAUUUCCAACAUAAAUCAGACCUAGUACAGAAGAGCUUGUACAUUCAGGCUAAAUAUCAGCGUUUACGGUUCGCUGGUCCAAGGGGAUUUGUCACUAAUAAAUUCAGAGAAAGAUUACUGAGGGGAAAAAAGUUUUAAUAAUAUAAGAUCCUAGUUAAAAG